rnacentral:rRNA from 1 species
UACGGAGGAUGCAAGCGUUAUCCGGAAUGAUUGGGCGUAAAGCGUCCGCAGGUGGCUGGGUAAGUCUGCUGUUAAAGAGUGAGGCUCAACCUCAUAAAGGCAGUGGAAACUACAUGGCUAGAGUGCGUUCGGGGCAGAGGGAAUUCCUGGUGUAGCGGUGAAAUGCGUAGAGAUCAGGAAGAACACCGGUGGCGAAAGCGCUCUGCUAGGCCGCAACUGACACUGAGGGACGAAAGCUAGGGGAGCGAAUGGG